AUUUAUUUGUAUUUUUAGUAGAGACGGGUUUCACCAUGUUGGUCAGGCUGGUCUCAAACUCCUGACCUCAAAUGACCCGCCUGCCUCGGCCUCCCAAAAUGCUGGGAUGACAGGCGUGAGCCACCAGGCCUGGCUUCCGGUUCCUUCCUGAUAGCACCAGUCCAUCCUGGCAUCAGUUCAGGCAUUUGUUAAGCACUUACUGCAUAUGGGCCUGUGUCAGGCUGUGCGAGCCCAAGGCAGACCCAGCCCUGUCCUCGUAAAAGGACCACUGCUUAACGGACUGCAAGAACGUCCAAGACUUCACCAAGUCAGGGGUCAAGGAAAGCUUUGGAGGUGGAAGGAAGUGAGCCAGGCCCGUUCUGGGCAGUAACUUGUCCCUGAGGCAGGUGCUGUUCUUAGCCCUGUGUUACAGAUGAGGAAACUGAGGCUCCGAACGUCCGGUGCCAGCCCAGGAUCACCGCGGACUGCAUGUGGCUGAGCCUGGAGUCUAGGUGGGAGUGAAUCCAGAGCUCCUGGUCCCCCCACAAUAGUCUCUGUUCUUUUGCUGACCUGAGAAAACCACAGACUCAGCGGAUUUUGCGGAGAAGUGCCGGGAAGCUUUGCUCAAAAUACCUACUGCAGGUGGAGGCGUGGCAGCUGAGACAGCAGGCACCCGACUCCCUGGAGGCCCAGGAGGCUCAUGGGGCUGCCUCCGAGGUCAGCGGCGGCCCAGGCCUCCCCAGCACCCUCCUUCCGGCAGGCGCCAGGGUGGAGGCCACCAACCAAUGUGACUCAGCCCAGCUCCCUGGUCCCUGCCUGGUCUCCUGGCCUUUACCAAGCACCCGUGGGUCUCACGUGCCUGGACGCCUGACCACGCAGGUGCCCAGGGACCCAUGGCCCUGGGAGCAGAGCAGGCAGGAGACGUACCACCACCACAGGGCUCCAGAGACCCCCACUGAUUGUGGUUUAUGCUGCACGACAUGGCCCAGUGUGAGCGCAGGAGGGGGCGUCCAGACUUGGUGCCCCGAAACCAAGCCCUGUUCUUCCCUCUCUCAACUCUGUUUCCUCCUAAAAGCACUGUUGUCCAGAUGCAGGGCUCAUGCCUGUAAUCCCAGCUACUCUACUCGAAAGGCUGAGGCAGGAGGAUCCCUUGAGUCCAGGAGUUUGAGACUAGCCUGGGCAACACAGCGAGAUCCCCUUCUCUACAAAAAAUAAACAGUUAGCCGGGUGGAGUGGUGCACGCCUGUGGUCUCAGCUACUUGGGAGGCUGAGGUGGGAGGAUUGCUUGAGCCCAGGAGGUUGAGGCUGCAGUGAGCUGUGAUGGCACCACUGCACUCCAGCCUGGGUGACAGAGCAGGACCCUGUCUCAAAAACAAUAAUAAUAAUAAUUAAUAAUAAAAGUGGCCGGGCG
rnacentral:lncRNA from 10 species